rnacentral:lncRNA from 1 species
CGAGACUUUGCGAGGGGCAUCGGGGUGCCAAAAAUAAGCCGCGGGCAAACCCGCGCCCAAAAAUAAGCGCCCGAAGGUCGUGGUGCCAACACCCCCCAGCGGAAAAAUGGCCAAAAAACGGGUGGGCUAUAGCCUUGGUGGGGGGCGCGGGCGAAGUUCGUCCGCCGGACUUGGAAUGGGGCGAGACUUUGUGAGGGGCCUCGGGGUGCCAAAAAUAAGCCGGGGGCAAAGCCGCGCCCAAAAAUAAGCGCCCGAAGGUCGUGGUGCCAAAACCCCCCAGCGGAAAAAUUGCCAAAAAACGGGUCGUGGGCUAUAGCCUUGGUGGGGGGCGCGGGCGAAGUUCGUACGCCGGACUCGGAAUGGGGCGAGACUUUGCGAGGGGCCUCGGGGUGCCAAAAAUAAGCCGCGGGCAAAGCCGCGCCCAAAAAUCAGGGCCCGAAGGUCGCGGUGCCAAAACUCCCCAGUGGAAAAAUGGCCAAAAAACGGGUUGUGGGCUAUAGCCUUGGUGGGGGGCGCGGGCGAAGUUCGUCCGCCGGACUCGGAAUGGGCGAGACUUUGCGAGGGGCCUCGGGGUGACAAAAAUAAGCCGCGGGCAAAGCCGCGCCCAAAAAUAAGCGCCCGAAGGCCGUGGUGCCAAAACCACCCAGCGGAAAAAUGGCCAAAAAACGGGUCGUGGGCUAUAGCCUUGGUGGGGGCCGCGGUCGAAGUUCGUCCGCCGGACUCGGAAUGGGACGAGACUUUGGCGAGGGGCCUCGGGGUGCCAAAAAUAAGCCGCGGGCAAAGCCGCGCCCAAAAAUAAGCGCCCGAAGGUCGUUGUGCCAAAACCCCCCAGCGGAAAAAUGGCCAAAAAACGGGUCGUGGGCUAUAGCCUUGGUGGGGGGCGCGGGCGAAGUUCGUCCGCCGGACUCGGAAUCGGGCGAGACUUUGUGAGGGGCCUCGGGGUGCCAAAAAUAAGCCGCGGGCAAAGCCGCGCCCAAAAAUAAGCGUCCGAAGGUCGCGGUGCCAAAACCCCCCAGCGGAAAAAUGGCCAAAAAACGGGUUGUGGGCUAUAGCCUUGGUGGGGAGCGCGGGCGAAGUUCGUCCGCCGGACUCGGAAUGGGGCGAGACUUUGCGAGGGGCCUCGGGGUGCCAAAAAUAAGCCGCGGGCAAAGCCGCGCCCAAAAAUAAGCGCCCGAAGGUCGCGGUGCCAAAACCCCCCAGCGGAAAAAUGGCCAAAAAACGGGUCGUGGGCUAUAGCCUUGGUGGGGGGCUCGGGCGAAGUUUGUCCCCCGGACUCGGAAUGGGGCGAGACUUUGCGAGGGGCCUCGGGGUGCCAAAAAUAAGCCGCGAGCAAAGCCGCGCCCAAAAAUAAGCGUCCGAAGGUCGCGGUGCCAAAACCCCCCAGCGGAAAAAUGGCCAAAAAACGGGUUGUGGGCUAUAGCCUUGGUGGGGGGCGCGGGCGAAGUUCGUCCGCCGGACUCGGAAUGGGGCGAGACUUUGCGAGGGUCCUCGGGGUGCCAAAAAUAAGCCGCGGGCAAAGCCGCGCCCAAAAAUAAGCGCCCGAAGGUCGUGGUGCCAAAACCCCCCAGCGCACAAAUGGCCAAAAAACGGGUGGGCUAUAGCCUUGGUGGGGGGCGCGGGCGAAGUUCGUCCGCCGGACUCGGAAUGGGGCGAGACUUUGCGAGGGGCCUCGGGGUGCCAAAAAUAAGCCGCGGGCAAAGCCGCGCCCGAAGUUCGUGGUGCCAAAACUCCCCAGCGGAAAAAUGGCCAAAAAACGGGUCGUGGGCUAUAGCCUUGGUGGGGGGCGCGGGCGAAGUUUGUCCCUCGGACUCGGAAUGGGGCGAGACUUUGCGAGGGUCCUCGGGGUGCCAAAAAUAAGCCGCGGGCAAAGCCGAGCCCAAAAAUAAGCGCCAGAAGGUCGUGGUGCCAAAACCCCCCAGCGGAAAAAUGGCCAAAAAACGGGUCGUGGGCUAUAGCUUUGGUGGGGGGCGCGGGCGAAGUUCGUCCGCCGGACUCGGAAUCGGGCGAGACUUUGUGAGGGGCCUCGGGGUGCCAAAAAUAAGCCGCGGGCAAAGCCGCGCCCAAAAAUAAGCGUCCGAAAGGUCGCGGUGCCAAAAACCCCCCAGCGGAAAAAUGGCCAAAAAACGGGUUGUGGGCUAUAGCCUUGGUGGGGAGCGCGGGCGAAGUUCGUCCGCCGGACUCGGAAAUGGGGCGAGACUUUGCGAAGGGCCUCGGGGUGCCAAAAAUAAGCCGCGGGCAAAGCCGAGCCCAAAAAUAAGCGCCAGAAGGUCGUGGUGCCAAAACCCCCCAGCGGAAAAAUGGCCAAAAAACGGGUCGUGGGCUAUAGCUUUGGUGGGGGGCGCGGGCGAAGUUCGUCCGCCGGACUCGGAAUCGGGCGAGACUUUGUGAGGGGCCUCGGGGUGCCAAAAAUAAGCCGUGGGCAAAGCCGCGCCCAAAAAUAAGCGCCCGAAGGUCGCGGUGCCAAAACCCCCCAGUGGAAAAAUGGCCAAAAAACGGGUUGUGGGCUAUAGCCUUGGUGGGGGGCGCGGGCGAAGUUCGUCCGCCGGACUCGGAAUGGGGCGAGACUUUGCGAGGGGCCUCGGGGUGACAAAAAUAAGCCGCGGGCAAAGCCGCGCCCAAAAAUAAGCGCCCGAAGGCCGUGGUGCCAAAACCCCCCAGCGGAAAAAUGGCCAAAAAACGGGUUUGUGGGCUAUAGCUUUGGUGGGGGGCGCGGGCGAAGUUCGUCCGCCGGACUCGGAAUGGGGCGAGACUUUGCGAGGGGCCUCGGGGUGACAAAAAUAAGCCGCGGGCAAAGCCGCGCCCAAAAAUAAGCGCCCGAAGGCCGUGGUGCCAAAACCCCCCAGCGGAAAAAAGGCCAAAAAACGGGUCGUGGGCUAUAGCCUUUGUGGGGGGCGCGGGCGAAGUUCGUCCGCCGGACUCGGAAUGGGGCGAGACUUUGUGAGGGGCCUCGGGGUGCCAAAAAUAAGCCGCGGGCAAAGCCGCGCCCAAAAAUAAGCGCCCGAAGGUCGCGGUGCCAAAACCCCCCAGUGGAAAAAUGGCCAAAAAACGGGUUGUGGGCUAUAGCCUUGGUGGGGGGCGCGGGCGAAGUUCGUCCGCCGGACUCGGAAUAGGGCGAGACUUUGCGAGGGGCCUCGGGGUGCCAAAAAUAAGCCGCGGCCAAAGCCGAGCCCAAAAAUAAGCGCCAGAAGGUCGUGGUGCCGAAACCCCCCAGCGGAAAAAUGGCCAAAAAACGGGUCGUGGGCUAUAGCUUUGGUGGGGGGCGCGGGCGAAGUUCGUCCGCCGGACUCGGAAUGGGGCGAGACUUUGUGAGGGGCCUCGGGGUGCCAAAAAUAAGCCGCGGGCAAAGCCGCGCCCAAAAAUAAGCGCCCGAAGGUCGCGGUGCCAAAACCCCCCAGUGGAAAAAUGGCGAAAAAACGGGUUGUGGACUAUAGCCUUGGUGGGGGGCGCGGGCGAAGUUCGUCCGCCGGACUCGGAAUGGGGCGAGACUUUGCGAGGGGCCUCGGGGUGACAAAAAUAAGCCGCGGGCAAAGCCGCUCCCAAAAAUAAGCGCCCGAAGGCCGUGGUGCCAAAACCCCCCAGCAGAAAAAAGGCCAAAAAACGGGUCGUGGGCUAUAGCCUUGGUGGGGGGCGCGGGCGAAGUUCGUCCGCCGGACUCAGAAUGGGGCGAGACUUUGCGAGGGGCCUCGGGGUGCCAAAAAUAAGCCGCGGGCAAAGCCGCGCCAAAAAAUAAGCGCCCGAAGGUCGUGGUGCCAAAACCCCCCAGCGGAAAAAUGGCCAAAAAACGGGUGGGCUAUAGCCUUGGUGGGGGGCGCGGGCGAAGUUCGUCCGCCGGACUCGGAAUGGGGCGAGACUUUGCGAGGGGCCUCGGGGUGCCAAAAAUAAGCUGCGGGCAAAGCCGCGCCCAAAAAUAAGCGCCCGAAGGUCGUGGUGCCAAAACACCCCAGCGGAAAAAUGGCCAAAAAACGGGUCGUGGGCUAUAGCCUUGGUGGGGGGCGCGGGCGAAGUUCGUCCGCCGGACUCGGAAUGGGGCGAGACUUUGCGAGGGGCCUCGGGGUGCCAAAAAUAAGCCGCGGGCAAGGCCGCGCCCAAAAAUAAGCGCCCGAAGGUCGUGGUGCCAAAACACCCCAGCGGAAAAAUGGCCAAAAAACGUGUCGUGGGCUAUAGCCUUGGUGGGGGGCGCGGGCGAAGUUCGUCCACCGGACUCGGAAUGGGGCGAGACUUAGCGAGGGGCCUCGGGGUGCCAAAAAUAAGCCGCGGGCAAAGCCGCGCCCAAAAAUAAGCGCCCGAAGGUAGUGGUGCCAAAACCCCCCAGCGGAAAAAUGGCCAAAAAACGGGUCGUGGGCUAUAGCCUUGGUGGGGGGCGCGGGCGAAGUUUGUACGCCGGACUCGGAAUGGGGCGAGAAUUUGCGAGGGUCCUCGGGGUGCCAAAAAUAAGUCGCGGGCAAACCCGCGCCCGAAGGUCGUGGUGCCAACACCCCCCAGCGGAAAAAUGGCCAAAAAACGGGUGGGCUAUAGCCUUGGUGGGGGGCGCGGGCGAAGUUUGUCCGCCGGACUCGGAAUGGGGCGAGACUUUGUGAGGGGCCUC